AUUUCUCUAAGGCAUGCUCCCUGGAGUAAAGUAGCUGGUGUGAUUAAUCUUCUUCCAUUCACCCUUCCCAAGGCCACCCUCCACCCUCUGCUAUCCUGUCCUGGGCCUUGACAGGCUGAAUUUUCUGGACUAAUCAGGCCCCCUUGCUUUCUGCUUCCUGUUGUGUUUGCCCAAUGAAGAGGACCAAAGCUCUGGAUCAUGCCUCCCGGUCUCAGUGACCAGGCUGAGAAGGAAGAGAACAUCUCCUAGGACCAGUGUGGUCUAUGAAGCCCAAGACUGCUGGACAACAUCUGGGGACAGCCUCACAGUUCACACCGACAUGUGAAAUGUUCACACUAACGAAAAGUCAGGAGAGACGCUUGGGGAGACACAAGAAGAAAAGGCAGAUUCCACCAAAGCCUUCAUAUGCAUCCUCUCAUAAAUCUUCAGGCUGUGCGGUCAAGCCUACGGCUGCUGAGCAAGCAUGGCUGUGAUGGAAUCAAAACCCAAUGGGG
rnacentral:lncRNA from 1 species